UGCGGGCGUGACACCUACAGUAUUGCUGUUGGUGGAUGAGUGGCGAACGGGUGAGUAACACGUGAGUAACCUGCCCCUGAUUUCGGGAUAAGCCUGGGAAACUGGGUCUAAUACCGGAUAUGACCAAUCUUCGCAUGAGGGUUGGUGGAAAGUUUUUCGAUCGGGGAUGGGCUCGCGGCCUAUCAGCUUGUUGGUGGGGUAAUGGCCUACCAAGGCGACGACGGGUAGCCGGCCUGAGAGGGCGACCGGCCACACUGGGACUGAGACACGGCCCAGACUCCUACGGGAGGCAGCAGUGGGGAAUAUUGCACAAUGGGGGAAACCCUGAUGCAGCGACGCAGCGUGCGGGAUGACGGCCUUCGGGUUGUAAACCGCUUUCAGCAGGGAAGAAGCGAAAGUGACGGUACCUGCAGAAGAAGUACCGGCUAACUACGUGCCAGCAGCCGCGGUAAUACGUAGGGUACGAGCGUUGUCCGGAAUUAUUGGGCGUAAAGAGCUCGUAGGUGGUUGGUCACGUCUGCUGUGGAAACGCAACGCUUAACGUUGCGCGUGCAGUGGGUACGGGCUGACUAGAGUGCAGUAGGGGAGUCUGGAAUUCCUGGUGUAGCGGUGAAAUGCGCAGAUAUCAGGAGGAACACCGGUGGCGAAGGCGGGACUCUGGGCUGUAACUGACACUGAGGAGCGAAAGCAUGGGGAGCGAACAGGAUUAGAUACCCUGGUAGUCCAUGCCGUAAACGUUGGGCACUAGGUGUGGGGGA
rnacentral:rRNA from 1 species